AAACGGUCUCUCUAUAGACAUGAUACAUGACAGAGCACAAUGGCGUCGUUUGAUUCAUGUAGCCGACCCCACUUAGUGGGACAAGGCUUUGUUGUUGUUGUUGUUGUUGGUUCUGUAUUCAGAUUCAGAUGAUUAUGCUUUUUGCAGUGUGCAUGACUUCGAGAAAAUAUAUAAGUUCAUGAAUCAGCUUCUGAGAAAUAUUUCUUAAGCUUAGAGGAACUUGUUUCAAUUUUUACCAAAUUUUUCUUUUCCCUUUCCUUCACGUGUAGUAGAUUUAAUGGUAUCAAUUAUAUUAUAAUUAUAUAUCAUAAUCCCUGUUUUGGAAUUGGAUCAUGAUUGCAUUUGAUAUAUCAUAUAAGUAGCCAAGUUAAUGUAUGACAGCAUAGUUAGUAUAUAGUGAUAUGGUGUUAGAGAUGAACUUAUCAACAAUAUAACAAGCAAUGGUGAAACUUGUUAGUGUUACAUACUGUAAUCUUGCUAGUACAUAGUGCUUGAAUUUUCACCCUAUUGUAGUUUUUUAUGGUUACAUGGUUAUUGUUUGAAUCUAUGUGCAGAUUAUUAUCAAUGGACUGAAUUGCACUUAAUAAGUUGGAUAUUAUUCCUUUUCAUAUUGCAGUCUUUCUUUUUAUUUUUUCCGCCCGAAAUAGUGCAGUUUUGAUGUUGGGAAAUUUGAAGACUUUGCUUGAAAUAAGUGUAGAAUUUUGGCUGAGUCGAGCUCCAGAGUGUCUUUAUGUUGGUGCAGUCAUGCACCCACAGACGAACUGAGGUAUCUGAAUUGUCCUUGUGCCAUUUAGGACUGCAGAGAUGUAUGAAAUGGCAUGCUUAGCUUUUAUGAUCUGUAGCAUUUAUUUGGAUAUUUGAAUGGUUCAAUUCUGAUAUGUUGUAUAAUGAGAUGAAAAGGGCCUUCCGACAAUCUGCUUUUAUCCUGAUGAGGGAGUUAUCAUGGCGUUUCUUUGGCCACAAAAUCGACUGGCAAAGAUUGUUUCUUCUGGCGGCUGUUUUGACUGUAUCUAGUAUUUUGUUUCAGAUGCUUGUACAUAGAUAUUUACUAAAUGAUCAGUCUCCUUAUGAAAAUGAUUCAUCACACCCAUCCUUGAAUAGCAGCACCACCAAAGAGGCAAUACUUCAGCAGUUCAAUCUCUAGGAGUAAAAGGGAGGACAAGCUUGCUGACGCAAUAAAAAAUACAAGAUUUUCACCCCUUCUUAGUGUUCCUUCUUAUAAGUAGGUAGAAAUUGGUGAGACCUUGAACCUACCACUUUUUUUUUUUAUAUAAAUUCACCAAUAAGUUGAUACAUAUAUAUUUCUCAGAGACACAUACAGUUGUUGCCACCUCAUGAGGCCUUUGUGUAUGCAAAGAAAGAGAUUGAUAAUGCCCCUUUGGUUAAUGAAGAUCCUGAUCUCUAUGUCUCUUUAGGGUGAAGAUGUAGUUUCGCAAAUGAAGAUGUAGUUUCUUGUAUAGUAAAGAACAUAUAUGAAGUUGAAUCGUAUAUAAUAUGUAUAUUUAGUGUCCAUAAAUCAAGAUUUGUUUUCAAUAUGUUAGAAAACAUUGCUUGUGAGCCGUAUAUAUGCCUUGUCCUUUAUACAUAUAUAAUAUGUGAGCCAUAUAUCUAUGUUACUUGUGAUAUUAUUUAUUUUAUGGAUUCAGAGACAUUACUUGUGAUAUUGUUCAUAUGAAGUUAAUAGUCAAAAAUCAAUAGAUGGUUUGACUAAAUCAUUUUCUAAUGUUGUAUGUGAAUUUUCACCAUGCCCUAAUCUCUCAAGUAUGCUACUAGUGUCUAUAUGUUGGAAUGUUGGACAACUUAAAACAAUAAAUUUAGUUAUGAUCAAGAUGUUUUACCUUGUUGCCUUGGACACUAAAAUUCUCACUGUUUCACCUAAUAAUGAAUUGAAUCCAUACCAUCUUAAAAUUAUAAUAAAGUUUGAUUUUUACCUGUUAAUUGAGUAAUUGGCAUGCCAAAUUUUAAAUAUCAUUGCACCUUAUAAUUAAAGUGACGCCGGGACGUUGACAAUCCCACUAUGGUGACAUAGUUUAGAUUCACCAAUCUUGGCGAGGUUAACAACCCCACUAUGGUGACAUAGUUUAGACCAAGGUUGCGAGAACCGGACCGGUCAUCGAACCGGUCAAGUGACUGGUUCAAUGGUUCAAUGGUUGAACCGGGGUUGAACCGGUUUAAUUAAAUAUAUAAUAAAAUUAUAAAAAAAAUCAAAACAUAAUUUUAAAAAGUUAAAUGCAAUAAUUUUUAAACUAAUAAGAUUCAAAAUUUAAUAAUUUCACAAAAUAAACAAUACAUAAUUCAUCAUUAAAAGGUCAAAGACAACUUCAAAUGUCAAAGUUUAUAACUAAAGAAAUUAAAACGCACAUAAAUGACAAACAUAAUGCCAGCAACAUACAAUUUAUUCACUUUAUUCAACCAAGAACAGAAUUUAAUCAACCAAGAACACAGAACUUAAUCAAUUUAUUCAACAUACAACAGCCUUAAUAAUUUGAAGCACAGAACAAAAAAAACCAACAAAAUUUAAUAACAGAGCAGAGUUCAUUAUUAACAGAGCAUAGUUCAUUAUCCACCCUAACAACCGAAAUUAACAAUCAAAAAUUAACAGAACAGAAAUCAUUAUCAACCAAGAAGUCAAGAACACAGAACUUAAUCAAAUUAUCCAACAUACAACAGCCUUAAUAAUUUGAAGCAUAAAACAAAA